rnacentral:rRNA from 1 species
UACGAACUACUCCCUCGGCUAACCGAGUUCGAGCGCUCGGAGAGGCUCUCCUCCACUAACCGGAAGAGUGACAGCGGCGCGGCAAGAGCAGGACACAUUCCCGGGGAGUCGAUCGCGAUACUACGGAUCCUCCUCCGCAGCAGUACAGCCCUCGAUCCAACUACGAGGGGUUUAGGAUGCCUCUCCCUCAGGUCGGGUCCCAUGUCCCCACCCUGUAGCGCGCGUGUUGCCCGGAAGAUUCGGGGCAUACGGACCUACCGUAACCUCUCCUUCCUUGCCUUAACGGCAGCGAUCCCGCUAGUGUGCUCCUACAAUCGCUUGUAAGAUCGCGACUAACGGCGAGGGUCUCGUUCGUUAUCUGACUUAACAGAACGCCUUACGGUACGAACUGACGACGGCCAUGCACCACCUCUCGGAGAAUCGGGCAAGGUCUUCAGCCUGGCUUUCAUCCCUCCGUCGCCUCCGGUGAGUUUUCCGGCGUUGAAUCCAAUUGAACCGCACGCUCCUCCCGUUGCGGUGCUCUCCCGCCAAUUCCUUUAAGUUUCAGUCUUGCGACCGUACUCCCCAAGCGGCAGACUCAACACCUUCGCUCCGGCACUGGGAGCCCACGCAGGACCCCCAACACCAAGUCUGCAGCGUUUACACCCUAGACUACCGGGGUAUCUAAAUCCCGUUUGCGCCCUAGGGCUUCGUCCCUCACUGUCGGAUUCGUUCUAGGUGAACGCCUUCGCCCACUGGUGGUCCCCCCAGGAUUACAGGAUUUUACCCCUACCCCGGGAGUACCUUCACCUCUCCGAUCCAAGCCGAGCAGUGUCUCCGGGAUCGGACCGUGAGCGGCCCGAUUAACCCGGAGAUUU